rnacentral:misc_RNA from 1 species
AAAAAAGGUAAAUCAAAGAAGCUUCGGACAACAGGUACAAGUGAGGGAGCAUCUAAUAAUGGUAGCAUGAAUUCAGAAACUAGUUCUGGUACUGAAGAUAUCGACAAUGAUGGAGUUAACUCUGGCGUUGAGGCUGAGACACCAUCCUCUACCGGAACUGCUCAACCGGAGAAACCUGUGAUUGUUUAUUCUGGUGUGCCAAGGGACAAACCUCCAGGUUUAGCAG